ACAGCAGUCGCCACGGUAAUACGGAGGGAGCUAGCGUUGUUCGGAAUUACUGGGCGUAAAGCGCGCGUAGGCGGUUACUCAAGUCAGAGGUGAAAGCCCGGGGCUCAACCCCGGAACUGCCUUUGAAACUAGGUGACUAGAAUCUUGGAGAGGUCAGUGGAAUUCCGAGUGUAGAGGUGAAAUUCGUAGAUAUUCGGAAGAACACCAGUGGCGAAGGCGACUGACUGGACAAGUAUUGACGCUGAAGUGCGAAAGCGUGGGGAGCAAACAGGAUUAGAUACCCCUGUAGUCCCUGUCUCUUAUAC
rnacentral:rRNA from 1 species